rnacentral:snoRNA from 1 species
UGCAGUCUGUGAUGCAAAUACUUACCCAGUAAAUGAUUUUCAGUGAUUAACAUAUUUACAAUCACCAUCUUUCGACUGAGAUUGCA